GACGAACGCUGGCGGCGUGCUUAACACAUGCAAGUCGAACGGAAAGGCCCUGCUUUUGUGGGGUGCUCGAGUGGCGAACGGGUGAGUAACACGUGAGUAACCUGCCCUUGACUUUGGGAUAACUUCAGGAAACUGGGGCUAAUACCGGAUAGGAGCUCCUGCUGCAUGGUGGGGGUUGGAAAGUUUCGGCGGUUGGGGAUGGACUCGCGGCUUAUCAGCUUGUUGGUGGGGUAGUGGCUUACCCAGGGUUUGGCGGGUAGCCGGCCUGAGAGGGUGACCGGCCACAAUGGGACUGAGAUACGGCCCAGACUCCUACGGGAGGCAGCAGUGGGGAAUAUUGCACAAUGGGCGGAAGCCUGAUGCAGCAACGCCGCGUGCGGGAUGACGGCCUUCGGGUUGUAAACCGCUUUCGCCUGUGACGAAGCGUGAGUGACGGUAAUGGGUAAAGAAGCACCGGCUAACUACGUG
rnacentral:rRNA from 1 species